UUUAACUAAUAUUUCAAUUUAAAAAUUCUACAUAAAAAUGUCUGUUUAUAAAUAUUCUUAUCUCCGAGUUCUAUGACAUGGAUAAGUUUAAGCCACGUAUUAAGUCAGUACAAAUAUAGGUUAGGUAUAGAUAUAAAAUAUUGAGACGUAACUCGGUUUGAUAGCUAUUGUCUAUUGAGUAUCGAACUAGAUUUCUUCUUUAGAAAGCAUUUUGGAAAGAAACCAAUGCAAUACCUUGACAAGUUAGGUGUUUGUAUCGAGUAGUUUAAGUAUAUUAUAAGCAGGUAUUAUGAUACCACGGAUGAACGUAAUGUGAGAUGAUAAAAACACCUUUUUGCAACAAAAUCCUAUGUGAACAAGUUUAGCAAAUAUACUUUAUUAAUAUAUUAAAUACAAGUAACAAACACUUUUAGUUAAUGAAAUAUGAGAAUUCGGAUUUUACAGUGAGGAAAGUUAGUGUAUUGAAUAAAAAUGUUCACACGUC